AAUUUUCACAUUUUUUCCAAUGAAUUUUUAAUAUGUUGUAAAUAAUUAAAUAAGUCAUUUUUAACAAUAAAAAAAAUUACAAAAUUCAGUGGAAGAAAUACGUAGAUUUAAAAAAAUUUUAACCUUGAGAAUGCCGGAAAGCCACUUUAGCAAUUUUCUAAAUUAAUUCAUAAAAUUUUUGAAAAUUUUCUAUAAAAUUUUUAUUGCAUUUUGCCGGCAGUCUCAAGGUUAAUUGAAUAAAUAAAUAUUUAAAUUUAUAAAUUUUAAUUUUGAAGAGAUUUUGUAAAUGUUUAUAGCUGUGCAACCUGAGCUGUGUAUGUUGACAUUGACGAAGGGUACCUUGAGCCGAAGAUCAUAAACAUUGUGAUUGUAAAAUCGCAAAGAUAAUAAUUCAAUCAGUUGCAAUUCGUGUAUUGACCUGUUUAGACGUGAUUAAUGUGAGUGACCAAUUAUAAAUUAACUUUGGAAUAAAAAAAAUCAGAAUAAUUUUUAUCAUCGCGAAUUAUUUACUAACUGAAUAAUGUAUUCAGUAUUGUUGCGAAUAUAAGUUCAAAUUCAAACGUAUUUCGCGCCUUUAACAUAGCAGACGAUGAAGCGCCUGCGCGCAGACUUAAGUCAGGUUAGAAACGAUACGCUGCUUAAACGCAACAUUAGAGAGUAGAAUUUUUAUGACAGUGUUGACAUCGGCGAAAGUCUACCAACAAUUUUGAGACAGGACAAUUCUCCUCAAAACGGAAGACGAUAAAAAAUUGCAAAAAAUCGGUACAUUAAACGACACAUGUAUACAUUGUACUUAGAAGAAAUGGACUAAUUAAAUUAUCAUAAAGAAACUUGGCAACAAUUAAUAUUUUAUUCAAGAAGAAACUAAACACACAUCCAAUAAGAAGCUUCCAAAAGUAAGGGUCAAAAAUAGAAAAAACAGCAAGGCCUCGGAUUAUACGACUUUUUCCAAUUUUUUUCAAAAAUACGACUUUUAUCGACUUAUUUUAAUAAAAUGCGACAUUUUUUUUUUGAAUUUGAAAAAAAAUAUAUAAAUAAAAUACAUUUUUUAGUAUAAAAUGUAGAUCUUCUUCAGGUUUUCUUCAAUUCAAUUAUUUAACAAAUUUUGAACUAAAAUGAUUCUUCACUAAAUUAAUUAUUUUUAAUAAUUUUAAUGAAAUACAUCACAAAUUCA